GGGGGAAAGAGACGAGCAUAGGUUCCUCCCAAGAUGCCACCCGCUUCAUUCAAGUGCCUGGCAGCACUGUGUUCCUGUUAGAGCCACCAGCACAAGCACCAGACGAUGCUGAUCCAGGUGAAGGCCCCAGUGCAGCAGCAACCGCACAUGAUGGAGACGAUGAUGAGGAGGAGACCAUCUCUCUGGAUUCCAGAAGGCAUGAGGUAUCAUGUUAAGACUGUGAAAGUACUAUUUACUCUACAAUGGUGAGGAGUCCUCAUCAAAAUCAAAAAAUCUAAUUUCUUUUACAGGACCCAGAUGCUAUACAGUGGGAAAACCAGCCUGGCAACAUAGUGCGUAUUAAUAAAAGGACACCACAUCCUGCCAAAUUCCAGCUGCGCUAAUUGUAUUGUGUUCACAGAGCUCACAAGCUAUCAGAAAGUUGUAUGGCAACCACCUCCGGCGCCAAAUAGAACUGGCAGACAUAGACAUUCAGUACAAGAAGAAAAAGAUGGAAAAUCUUGCACUGGAGUCCGAAAUAAAAAAGAGGACAAUUAGGAAACUGGACCUUGAAAUAAAAAAAAAACUUGAGAGGGAGGUGAGAUAUGCCUUCAAUGUACACUGUAUGCUAACUGUAACACAAAUGUAUUAAUCAUUAUUUUUCUUUCCUCCCCCAGCUCCAAGAAGAUGACACAGCUCAAAAUAAAAAUUAGGUAUAUUCUCGUAAAGUCAAGUGAGCCAUGACAUAUGAGCUCUUAUUGUGAGCACACAGGACGGUGGCAUCUUUCUAAGGUUUUUUUAUUUUCCCAGCAAUCAGUACAACCAAGUCAUCGUUAUAAGGCAUCGCCCUCUUUUGCCCACCCCCCCAGCACCAGGUGUGGCCACUAGCCUAUAUGAAGGGCCAAAAUUGUGUGUUCCUUUCUGCUCUGACAAUGGCAUGCCCAUUCGUGCGAGAUGUGGUGGAUGAAGAAGCACUUGUGCUGAGGAGAGCCUUCAGGCGAGAAAGGGUCUUCAGGGACCGGUUGGACCCACUGGCCUUCCCUGAUGACCAUCUAUAUGAAAGAUACAGGCUUUCUGCAGAUGGCAUCAGGUAUCUAUGCAGACUACUGGGUCCCAGGAUUAAGCACCGCACUGCACGGAGCCAUGCACUGAGUGUGGAGCAAAUGGUUUGUGUGGCCUUGCGCUUUUUGCUAGUGGAGCCUUCCUGUACUCAGUGGGGGAUGCAGAACAGCUGAACAAGGCCACAAUUUGCCGCACAAUAAGGAGUGUGUGUCUGGCUAUCAAAGCAUUAGCAGAUGUCUUCAUCUCCUUCCCUGGCCACAGAAGACUCUGUGACAUCAAAGAGGAGUUCUAUAGGAUUGCAGGUUUCCCCAAUGUCAUUGGUGCAGUGGACUGCACACACAUAAGGAUAAAAGCCCCCUCAGGUGCCCAUGAGGCCGAUUUUUGUGAAUAGGAAAUCCUUUCACAGCAUUAAUGUUCAGAUGGUCUGCAAUGCUGACUGUGUGAUCAGCAAUGUUGUGGCAAAAUGGCCUGGCUCAGUCCAUGACUCCAGAAUCUUUCGGGCCUCUGAAGUCUAUCACAAGGUGAAUUCUCUGGUGUGUUGCUGGGAGACAGGGGUAUGGCUGCCAGCCUUUUCUCCUGACACCUUUCACAGACCCCCAGGAAGCACAGCAGGCCUACAACCAUGCCCAUGCCAGGACCAGGGCCAGAGUUGAAAUGACCUUUGGCCUCCUGAAGGCACGCUUUCACUGCCUUCACAAAUUAAGGGUCAGCCCUGUUAGGGCAUGUGAUAUUACUGUGGCUUGUGCUGUCCUCCACAAUGUGGCCUGCCUGAGGAAGGAGAGGGCCCCCAGAGUGCCACCAGCCAUGGACUGGGACAAUCCGGCAAUCUUCCCUGAUGACGACAGUGGUCGGCUGCUGAGGGACCAAUAUGUGUUGAAUUAUUUUAGUUAGUAUGUGUGCUUUCAAUUUUGGUUAAAUAUGUCCUGCGGUGGCAGAGGA